rnacentral:rRNA from 1 species
UACGAAGGGGGCUAGCGUUGCUCGGAAUUACUGGGCGUAAAGCGCACGUAGGCGGAUUGUUAAGUCGGGGGUGAAAUCCUGGAGCUCAACUCCAGAACUGCCUUUGAUACUGGCGAUCUCGAGUCCGGGAGAGGUGAGUGGAACUGCGAGUGUAGAGGUGAAAUUCGUAGAUAUUCGCAAGAGCACCAGUGGCGAAGGCGGCUCACUGGCCCGGUACUGACGCUGAGGUGCGAAAGCGUGGGGAGCAAACAGG